rnacentral:rRNA from 1 species
AGGAUUAACGCUGGCGGCGUGCAUGAGACAUGCAAGUCGAACGGACGAUCAGGGCUUGCUCUGAUCGUUAGUGGCGGACGGCUGAGUAACGCGUAGGUGACCUGCCCCGAAGUGGGGGAUAACUGCCCGAAAGGGUGGCUAAUACCGCAUGCGGAGGUUCGUUCAAUCGAACCUUCAAAGCAGCAAUGCGCUUCGGGAGGGGCCUGCGUCCGAUUAGCUCGUUGGUGGGGUAAAGGCUCACCAAGCCAACGAUCUGUAGCUGGUCUGAGAGGACGACCAGCCACACUGGGACUGAGACACGGCCCAGACUCCUACGGGAGGCAGCAGUGGGAAUUUGGACAAUGGGCGCAAGCCUGAUCCAGCAAUGCCGCGUGCAGGAAGAAGG